UUGGUGAAAUUGGUUCCGUAGUCGGUAGCAAGUGUAACAUAUGAUUUGAAUGCUUUUUAUGUGAUUUUUCACAUGCUACCUGUGAAAUGGUUCAUCUCU